AACAAACUGAGUUUGUCAAGCCAGAAAGCAACCCUCCAGCAUCCAGAUUACCCUUCGAAGACGGCAAAGAAAAAGAGAGCUCUGAAAUCACUCAACGCAUAGGAGCUGGUUCUAUAAUUUUUAGACUUUAAUUAAAUCAAUUAUUAAAGCCUUUCUUAAUGCCUUGCUGAGAUAUUCAGGCUCGGGCUGCCUCAGGAGAGAGGAAGUGGUUGAAUGCACAGAGGUGGCUAAUAAGGUUGGUCACUGGCCCCUGAGGGACGCUAGGCAAUAAGGAAGGUUCUCCCUUCCACACCCUUUCCAGUCUCGCCCUCACUCCUUGUGUCUCUUCCAGAGGGGACACAACAUUCCAGAAUCCCACAGGAAAGAUUCUACCAUCUCCACAGCUGCCCUCGCCGCAGUCCUCCCUACUGUUGGAGAAGAUGCCCCCAAUAACUGGGGUGUCUCGAGCUAGUGGACACAUCAUGGAGCUGGGUGAGGCCAGAGGACCUUCCUAGAAAAGGGAAUAUUUCUCUCUCUCUCUUAGUGAUCUGCCUGGGUCAGGAGUUUGGGAUCACUGGCAAGUUGAACAGGUCCUGUGGAUCUUUUCUAGCCUCUGUGUGCCCUAGAGAAGGAGGGCUGGCUCACAUCUCCCUGUGGCCGUAUUCAGAAAUAACUGGGGAAUAGAACACAGUGUAUUGGCUCGUACAGAGUCCACGGUGAGGGGCCGUGGCCAUACCUGCUGCCUUGUUGACCUUGGUUUGCAGAGUGGACUGUGUCAUUAAGAUCCUCCCAUGGCCUCAUCCUGUGCUGGCCAUCGCUAUGCGUCCAGUAAGGAGGUAGAACACUGGAUGAGCCACAGAAAGCACACAGGACUUUGCUGUGGAAGAGUCAAAGAUCCACGUGGGAGCAUCCCGUAGGGGACUUGCGUUUCAGAUCAGAUGAUGCUUUUCAUGUAUGUCCAGCAGCAAGAGAGUCCUUCACUGGUGAAAAAUCACGGGCCUCAGAGCAGAUUUUAGUUCAUCUUUCAUUUCAAAGCACUCCUUAGAUAUCUGCAAAUUAAAUCCCCUAAUUUGGUGAGGACGCCCAGCUUCCCAAAUAACAAGGCUUUUCCUUUGAUUCUAACCAAGUGAGCCGGCCCUGCAAAAGCCGGGGUGCGUGUUCUGGCUCCAGGCUUCUGAGCAGCCUUUCUCCCCACGCUGCAGCUUUUCAGUUAGGAAGUCAGAGAGAAGGAAAGAGAACUAUUUCCAAUUCAAUCACGAGCAUGUCUACGCACCACUGAAGACAGACCUUUGUCCUGUUGCUUUCCAAACUUUAAAUGUGAAUUUUUCUUCUUAUGAUGACUGGUGUACUCUGUUAUUCUGAAAAAAGAAAAAGCCAUAAGCACCCUGAAGUGAGG
rnacentral:lncRNA from 1 species